UACGGAGGGGGCGAGUGUUGUUCGGAAUUACUGGGCGUAAAGGGCGCGCAGGCGGCUUGGCAAGUCGAGUGUGAAAUACCUCAGCUUAACUGAGGAAUGGCGCUCGAAACUACCUCGCUAGAGGGCGGGAGAGGGAAGUGGAACUCUCGGUGUAGGGGUGAAAUCUGUAGAUAUCGAGAGGAACACCGGUGGCGAAGGCGGCUUCCUGGCCCGUACCUGACGCUGAGGCGCGAAAGCGUGGGGAGCAAACAGG
rnacentral:rRNA from 1 species